UACGUAGGGUCCGAGCGUUGUCCGGAAUUACUGGGCGUAAAGUGUGCGCAGGCGGCGCCGCAAGUCGAGUGUGAAAGCCCCGAGCUUAACUUGGGAAUUGCGCUCGAAACUAUGGUGCUGGAGUGUGGCAGAGGAAGGUGGAAUUCCACGUGUAGCGGUGAAAUGCGUAGAGAUGUGGAGGAACACCGAUGGCGAAGGCAGCCUUCUGGGCCAACACUGACGCUCAUGCACGAAAGCGUGGGGAGCAAACAGG
rnacentral:rRNA from 1 species